rnacentral:snRNA from 1 species
CAGAAUGAUACAGAGAUUAGCAUGACCCCUGCACAAGGAUGACAUGCAAAUUCAUGAAGUAUUCCAUAUUUUA